UACGUAGGGUGCGAGCGUUGUCCGGAUUUAUUGGGCGUAAAGAGCUCGUAGGCGGCUUGUCGCGUCGACUGUGAAAACCCGUGGCUCAACCAUGUGGUCUGCAGUCGAUACGGGCAGGCUAGAAUUCGGUAGGGGAGACUGGAAUUCCUGGUGUAGCGGUGAAAUGCGCAGAUAUCAGGAGGAACACCGGUGGCGAAGGCGGGUCUCUGGGCCGAUAUUGACGCUGAGGAGCGAAAGCGUGGGGAGCGAACAGG
rnacentral:rRNA from 1 species